UACGAAGGGGGCUAGCGUUGCUCGGAAUCACUGAGCGUAAAGCGCACGUAGGCGGCUUUCUAAGUCAUGGGUGAAAUCCUGGAGCUCAACUCCAGAACUGCCUUUGAUACUGGAGAGCUAGAGUCCGGAAGAGGUGAGUGGAACUGCGAGUGUAGAGGUGAAAUUCGUAGAUAUUCGCAAGAACACCAGUGGCGAAGGCGGCUCACUGGCCCGGUACUGACGCUGAGGUGCGAAAGCGUGGGGAGCAAACAGG
rnacentral:rRNA from 1 species